UAAUCGUAGACUUUUGAAGUCUUUCACAGUCAAGCAGGGAGAUCUGUAGGAGUGUUGCUUUCCUUUGCUUCAUCUUCAGGAGAAAUGGCUCAUUUAACCACAAGCCUCCCUGCCAUCUACUUAUCUAAAACUGUGGAGAAAAUUCCAAGUAAUUUCAGCGAAUGUGUAUUUACAACGAAUGAGUGGAUCUUCUCUGUGAUUCCACCAUACAUCAUGACUGUUUCCAUUCUGGGAAUUCUCCUAAAUAGUUUUGUAUUGAUGGUUUUCUCCCUCCACAAGAAGUCCUGCACCAUGACCGAGAUCCACUUGAGCAACUUGGCUGCUGCUGACCUGCUUCUGGUUUCCUUUUUGCCCUUCUAUGCUGUUUAUGUCUUUAAUCAUUUCAACUGGACUUUUGGUUUGGCCAUGUGCAAAUUUGUCAAUCUGAGCAUUUUGAUGAAUACCUACUGCAGCAUCUACUUCAUGGUUCUAGUCAGUAUUGAUCGUUAUUUGGCUCUGGUGCAUCCGAUGUUUUACGAAAGAAUCAGUGAAAAAAAGUUUGCCAAGCUGGGUUGUAUGGUGGUCUGGAUUCUGGGCUUCAUCUUUGGCCUUCCAGCUCUUAUCCACCGGGAUCUGAAACCCUCCUAUAACCAAACUUUCUGUUACCUGAAUUUUCCCAGCCGCACUACACAGCUAAUAAGUGACACGUCAAUCUCUUUGUUUGGAUUCAUCACUCCAAUUUUCAUUAUUUCUUUCUGCACUUUCAAAAUCAUCAAAGCUCUGAGAAGUGGAUCAAAGGAAAUAAAGAGUGCAGAGAAAAUGCACCAGAAAAUGACCACUUUGGUUCUGGCAGUUCUCCUGGCAUUCCUGAUCUGUUGGGUACCGUACCACCUGCUGAAGUUACUAUAUCUACUAAAAGAUGCUGACAUGUUGACUAGUUGUAGUGUUUUCAAUCACCUGCUCAUCUGCAGCCAGAUCUUCACCUACUUGGCCUUCUUCAACAGCACUCUCAACCCCAUUCUUUACUGUCUUGUUGGAAAAACUUUUCAGAAAAAAGUUAAAGAACUCUUCAAGCUGAGUAACCAAAAAAGCAACAUGGCCAUCAAUGACCCCUCUACAUCCACAAAACUGUAUGGAAGUGCUCAGUCAGAGGAAAAUGCUCUCUGAUCUGCUAAAAACCACUAACUGUGUUAAAAUUUUCUUAAACUCUGUAUGAUUUUGAUUUAAAAAGACGCAUAAACAUCCAUCAGAGGGUUGAGCUCCACAAUAUGAAAUAUUGGUGUUGACAGUUUUCUUGGUGUGUAUUGAAAUGACUGGGAUAAAUCUUUCCUGACACUAGGCUCUUGAGAGAAACCACUUGGUGGACAUGGCUCUGUUCCCAUUCCUGAGAUGUUUAUCAUGAAAGACUCAUUUGUCUCAUGUGUUGUUGUUUUUUUACUUGUGCAAAGAUAAAACUAUCCAUGUGUAAAUACGUCUUGGCUGAUACACUGAGGAUGUUGUAACCAUCACAGCUGUUCGACAAUCUGUUUAUAUCUUGCACAACGUGACAGGAUUUGUUACUGAAACCAUCCAUCCAUUUUCAUCCGCUUAUCCAGAGUUGGGUCGCGGGGGCAGUAGCCUAAGGCGAGAGGCCCAGACUUCCCUCUCCCCAGCCAUUUGGGCCAGCUCCUCGGGGGGAAUCCCAAGGCGUUCCCUGGCCAGAAUACAAAAGAGGCUACAUUCACUGUCACUGGCUACUGAUUUUCUCAGAAGGAACAUUUAUACCAUGAGAAAAUGACGACCGGAGCAAACCAUGAUGAUGGAAUGCAGCUGUUACUGCCUCUUAUCUCCUUGGUAUGUAAACUAUAAACCUUAAAGUGUUUAUCUUUUUUUGUUAACAUGAGUAUGAUUUGUGUUCCUGAUAACCAUUGUGAAUCGUUAAAGUCUAAGAGGACUAGCUUCUUCAGACGACAUCAUUACAGAGCCUCUUUUAUAAUUAUUGUAUUUGUUGCGUGUGUUUUCACAGUAAAGCAUCCAGACUUACUCAAAAUGUUCUCACAUUAUGGUGCUGAAAGAAGUCCUGCACCAUGACUGAGAUCUACCUGAGCAACUUGGCUGCUGCUGACCCCCUUCUCAUUUCUUUUACGCCGUUUGAGGCUGCUGAAAUUGACAGUAAAUCCAAAUGGACUUUUGGUUUGGCCGUGUGCAAACUUGUGUACAUGAACAUUCAGAUGAAUGACUGCUGCAGCAUCUACUUCUUUGUUCUGGUCGGCAUUGAUCAUUGUUUGACUCUGGUGCACCCACCGUCUAGUGCUUUACUUUCAACUGCAGGAACAUUUACAGCUUCAUGAGACCACUAAAAAGUUUCAGUCUGGUUUUAAACUGGGGCACAACACAGAAACAGCACUUCUUAGAGUGUUUAAUGAUCUGCUUUUGAUGGCAGACUCAGGAGAUUAUGCUGUUUUAAUCUUACUGGACUCAACUGCUGCCUUUGACACGGUAAAUAUUUUAUUAUCACGUCAGGAACAGUCUGUCGGUCUUAAGGGCACAGCGCUUAACUGGUUUUUCUCCUAUCUGUCUGAACUUUUUCUGUCCAGUUGGGUCAGUUUUCCUCCUGAGGCCCCUUUGAACUGUGGGGUACCUCAAAGCUCCAUUUUAGGACCUAUACUUUUUUCACUGUAUACACUUCCUUUGGGGUCACUUUUUAAGAAAUACAGUUUGUAAUUUCAUUGCUUUGCGGACGAUCUGCAAAUUUGUCCCCCAGUAUGAUCAUGUGGAAGUCAGUAAAUACAGAAAUUGCUGAACUGUUUGAAGGACAUAAAAACUUGGAUGGAGAUGGAUUUUCUGCAUUUAAAUGAAAAUAAGACAGAGGUGCCUUGAGAUGACUUUUGUCGUAAUUUGGCGCUAUAUAAAUAAACUGGAAUUGAAUUGAACUGAAUUUUUAGGCUGAAGAACUAUCAAAGAAUCGUAACUAUAAAUGGGACCUCCACAACCACACACGUGUCAAGAAAUGUUCAAUCUGAGGAUGAUUCUGAUUAGGUUAUGGGUUUCUGGAGUUGGAGGAUGCUACAGUUCCUUUUAUUAAAAUGAGACUUUGUGAAUAGACCAUAUUUUAGAAAUAUCAGCUUUAACUCAAAGAUUGUAGAAAGAGUACUCCUGUCUGUAUAUCCUGCAAAGCCUUUUGAACUAAUUCAUAGAAAAUGUAUAAAGCAGUUUUGUAAUUAUUCUGUACCAAAAGCAAAACAUUUUUAAAUGUAUAUGUAAAAUUUUGUUCUCUUUUUGCAUCAUAAUGCUUAAAAGUGUAAUAGUUAAUGAGUGAAAUGAUGUUAUUGGGCUCAACAGUAUAGACAACAGCCAAAUUCAUUCAUGUUUGUAAAACAGUUUAAAGUCCUUAUUCACGUUUAUGUAUGAAAAUUUUGCUUCAUUGUGACUAAAAACUAAUUCUGCAUAAACGAUUAUGACAUUGGUCUGUUCUUUUCCUUCAUCUCAUCAGUUUGUCCUCAUCUCUUCUGCUCUUCAAGGUUGCUUAUUAAAAAGAUAAAAGAAUUAGUCACAUUUAUUUUUAUUUUUCAAUCCUCGGUCUUAGGAUUGGGCUAAAGUCUAGAGAGCUGAGAAACUGCUAAGAGCUGGAUUUUUGGACAGUGGAGAACAUGAAAGCUCUACACAUAAACAUGGUGUAAAUAAUAAAACUGAUACACAAUUCUGGAUUCAGGUUUUCCUUUGCCAGUGCUAAUGAAAAUCUGUUUCAUUGUUUCACGUUGGUUGGGUCACCUAAUAAAAGAAGCCUGAAAGC